UCCCCAGUGGCUCAGCAGUAAAGAAUCUGCCUACAAUGCAGGAGAACUGGGUUCAAUCCCUGGGUGGGGAA
rnacentral:tRNA from 1 species